GUGCCAGUGCCUCACCAUACUUUCUAAGAAGAAUUUUUCCCUAAUAUUCAACCUGAAUAUCAUCCCAUAGACCCAAGGCUCUGGGCCAAUCACCUUUGUGGUCGGAGGACAAGAGGAAAUGAAAAGAGCUUAUAUUUUACAUGCCUGGAGGCUGCACACUGCUCCAAAGCCCUCGUUGGAAGAGAGGGGAUGUCACUUUCCCCAUAAGUUGGGUACAGACGGGACUGCGAACACCAUGAGCACGAUCCAGCCGGCAGCCUGAGGAUGGACAUUUUCUUUCUUCUUGCUCCUCUAGGUAACGAGAGAGGCUUCACCACUGCCAUUUUCUUGGGAAAGAAGAAAUUGUUCCCACACAGGAAGAAUUCUUGGGGAAUUGCAUGGGUGACGUUUAUCUUCUUUUUUUUUUUUUUCCUUUUAAAGAUUGUCAUUUCUGUGAGUUUAAGCUGCUUUGUACUGUGAAUUGCAUCUAUUUUGAAUACUAGAGACUAAGUUUUGUAUUAAUAUUAUGAAUAUCAGUUAUGGAACCUGAAGCCUUAUCAGCAAGACUCAAAUCCCAUUAGUAUUUCAUUUUGCAUAAAGUAUUCAGAAUGAAUUAUAUCUAUUUUCAGGGAAAAGGAGGAGUAUAGUAGUAAAUGGGGGAAAGAAAUUGAUGUAGAAAAGUAUGGCCUGAAGUGUGCAUCUGAGAUAUGGGAAGUUAGACAUUGUGAAUAGGAAAGCGUGCAGUUAAAUUUGGAUAUUUUUUGUAGGUGGAUGAUGAAAAUUGCACAGAAGUGGUGUGUAAGUAAUGCACAUAUAAUUAGUUACUAUGGCUUACUGCUUCUGAAACAGAGGAGAACGUACCAGUAGGUGCCUGACAAUAGCUCUCCAAACAAGUCUCUAAGCCACAUAAAUACUUACAGGUCCCAGCAGCCACCAAGAGGGCAGACUGACAAUUUGGGGAUUUUAUUUGGAUGAUUCCUUCACCCCUCCUGCCCUCACUCAUCACGGGGCUUUCUGUGGCUAUAUGGAUGGUAGCUCCCAGUGCAUGAUGUUUAAAUACUGAACUUAAUUUCUGGAGGGUAAAUUCAGAUAAAAUGCAUUUCCUUUUUGUGUACUACUGAAAACAAGUAUAUGCACAGUCUAAUUUGUUUAUACACUCUCAGAGAUGGACAUAUGCUGUAGAUGAAACUAAAAGAACCGCUGGCUCAAGCUAGAUCCUCUAGAUUGGAAACACUAAUUAAUGUUUUUCUAAAGGCUGUAUCUCGUAUUGCAAGUCACCCCAGGACUAAGGAGGAAAGAUAUUCACAGCAAGAGACCCAGCAUUUUAAUAUUUGUAUGCUACUGAAAUCUCCAUUCAAAAGUGGCACAAUUUUACCCUGAUUUUUUUUUAUCUGUUUCUGUAUUCCUAAAUGGCUUUGCAGUAAUUAGGAUUUAAGCAUAAAAUGACUGUAAAGACAGAAGGCACUGGGCAACUACUUUUUCCCUAUUUCAGUAUCGUAUCUGCUUUUUUAUCUACCUUUCUACUCUGGUAACAGCAGUGGUCCGGCCAGUGGAGGAAGUCUUGGGUAACCAUUGCCAAGUAGGAGCACAAAGAGCUGGUGCUUCUCAAAGCAGAGCCACACGUCUGGGAGUCUUCCUUCAGCCUCCUCCCCGCAAUGUCUUAUGAAAUCCUGAGAAACUCAAUCCUCUGAAUAUUUUUACAGUUGCAGAGGACGAGAAAGCACCAUUUGCCUUGUCUGUGAGCUCCACAGGUAUUAGUGGGCUUGGGUCUUCCUUCCAUUGACAUCAGUGUUCAGGCCUUUAUUUCAGCCUCCGGCACAAUGCUUGCUGCCGUGCUGCCAAAACACUCCCAGGUAAAAUGAACACCGUGGCUUUGGUAGCCUCCCAUUAGGCUGUGUAUUGCCUUGCUGGUAAAGGCUGUCCCUCUCUAUCCUCCUCCUAGAUUUACCAUCUGUCAAGAGAGCUUCAAAAGCCUUUCUUGAACUGCAUGUUUGAAAUACAGAUCUUUCCACGGAGCAGAAGACAAAGCUCUGUUCCUUUCUGGAAAGCUGUCUAGCAGAAUUGCCAUGAGUUAAAUCCUCCAGCAGCCAUCUCAGGUAGACGCAAUAUUCAUGUUUGGAGGUGAGGAACAUUAGGGUAGCUGUUGUAUGGAGUGAUGUGGUUCAGUGGUAUGGUGGUGAUGGGUUGAAGGUGGGAAUACAUAUCUUAGUGAUCUUUCCAACCUUAAGGAUUCUAUGAUGCUAUGAACAUUUUGCUCUGGAUAUGGAAAACUAGGUCCCGUCCAGCACAUUCGGAAUGGAUAAACAAGCUGUCUGACAUCACUUUAAUGGUGAAAAUAACUUUGUAUGGAUGACAGAAUGAGGAUAAAUGCAUUAAUAUGAAAUCUUGUUAUAGGUGGACACAUAAACUGUGCAUCUUGUACAAAGCAGCAUAAUUUAUAAAGCAUUUUUAAGGUUCUUAUAGUACCAACUCUGCUCCAGACUGUGUGGAAACCUCUCCCCCUCCAUUAGUAUCUUAAUUCAUGGGCAAAACAGGCAGCCGUUGAAGCUAGAGCCUGAGAGGAAAAGCAAAAGCCCAGCAAAAGGUUUUGUGUACAGACUCAGGCAGUGCUGCUUUAGGAAGGGUUUUGGCUUCAUGAGGAGAGAGCAGCCCUGCAGCAGCUCUGCCCCAUCCUUCAGUGGGAUGCUGGCUAUACCUGAGCAAUGCUUACAGCUGGGGAGGGAAUGCUCCAGUUGGGCUGCCCUGUUUAGACCUGCUUUGUCCUUGUCCCCUCUUAGCCUGUGUGAAGUUGAACCUCUGUCUUCAUGACACUGAUUGCAGCCGUGACUCUCUGCUGUUGCAGGGCAGUAGUUAGAGGUGUGAAUCAGUGACUGAUCUCUGCUGGCAGUCUUCUGCCCUGAUUCUGAUAGCAAUGAUAGCUAUGUGGUGCCCUUUGUCUCAGUCAGAGAGCAACAAAAGGGAAAAGCUCUCAGUGAUGCUAACGCUGCAGUUUCCUUUCUAAUGUGUAUUUUACUAUCUGAAAAAAAAAAAAA
ensembl:lncRNA